GGAGAGGUGGCAGAGUGGUCUAUUGCGCGGGUUUGCUAAACCCGUGAAUCCGUAAGGGUUCCGCAGGUUCAAAUCCUGUCCUCUCCGC
rnacentral:tRNA from 1 species